rnacentral:snoRNA from 1 species
AUUUGGCGGGAGUGAUGAAUCAAUUAGAUGUGCGAAGUCUCCUUAUGAGCUUAAACUUUUGAGGCAUACAUUCUGUCUGACCUGCCAGUC